CUUAACUUGCACCGCACCCCGCACCGGAGCCCGCAUUCCCGGCUCGCGUGGCCGGCAGAGCCCAUCUCCCACGGGGACGGGCCGGCUCGCCGAGGACACGGGGGGGUGGGGGUGGCUGGCGCUGGUUUUAGGAGGGAAGCAGCAGGCUGGGAGCUUGGCCCUGGUCCAGCCGGCGAAGCCCCGCCCCUGCAUCAGCUUUGAGGCCCCUGGGCUGAGUGUAUGCACGGCCCAGGUGUGUGGGGGCCCUGGGCUGCCUGGUGUAUGCACGGCCCAGGUGUGUGGGGGCCCUGGGCUGAGUGUACGCACCGCCCAGGUGUGUGGGGGCCCUGGGCUGAGUGUAUGCACUGCCCAGGUGUGUGGGGGCCCUGGGCUGAGUGUAUGCACUGCCCAGGUGUGUGGGGGCCCUGGGCUGCCUGGUGUAUGCACGGCCCAGGUGUGUGGGGGCCCUGGGCUGCCUGGUGUAUGCACGGCCCAGGUGUGUGGGGGGCCCUGGGCUGAGUGUAUGCACUGCCCAGGUGUGUGUGGGGCCCUACUGUGCGCCGCGCAUCUAAAACGGGGUGAACGGACCAGACCGAACCCUGCCCGGGAGCUGGCACGAAAGGGAAGUGGGAGACCCGACACCUCCAGGGUGCCGCUGCCGGGCUGCGCGCAGACGGACCCCGGGCCCAGCCGGCGCCAGGACGCGGCCCCGGCUAUUUAAAAUUUAUCUGAGAAACACAAACACAUCACCACCCCGCCCACCUGCUGGU